UUUGUACUCCCUCUGUCCCAAAAUUCUUGUCUUAAAUUUUUCUAAAUACGGAUGUAUCUAGUUACAUUUUAGUGUUAGAUACAUCCAUAUCUAAACAAAUGUAAGACAAGAAUUUUGGGACGGAGGGAAUACUAC
rnacentral:pre_miRNA from 1 species